AUUGGCUGUCCUCCGGUCAUGUGACCGGUAGUUUGGCGUUGCUUCACCAGAUUAUUCACAAUGGCGACAGCGUCACAAACUUUCUCAUUUUACAGCUAAACCGUGCACUACAAGAUGAUUCUGUUAACAUCUGAGGCGAGAAAUAGGCAUUAGCGUAACAUAAUAUUGAUUCAUAUUUGAUCAGCGCUGCCUAGUUUGACCGUUUGGUCAGAGUUUGCGAGUGACUGACAGCCGGCUCUCAUAGACGGCAGAUGGACAGCGGACCUCAGAUCAGCUCUUACUGCUUGUUUUCCUCCGUUAUGUGAAAUCGUGCAGAUGCCGUUUGGAGCACCGGAGGACACAGAGGCACGUGAUUUUUUUCAGGUUACCUGUUUCAUGUACUACUGUCACGAUAUAGUGACCGUUUUAUAAAAAUAACUUUUUUUAAUCGCAACGCACGACCGCAGCUUCAGUUACACCGCGCAUGCGUUAUACCCCAUACCCCAAGACCCAUGUUCGCCCGUGACCCAGCCUCCUUUCCAUAGGCCUUGGGUGGUGGAUUCGUCUGUCCAUCUCCAUUUUGUGAGAAACUAACCAAUGGACAUUCAGGAAAUCACCAAGGACCUACCAACCAGCUGCAGUUUUCAUUCAGUCCACAGCAGAGUGUUGAAAGAUGGCAACACUGUCAGCGGUUUUGCAAAGCAGCGACGAGGAUAACGGAGCUUCAGAGCCUGAAGGUUUUAUUCUUCAAAUUGAAGAUGAUUACCAAGAUAAUGGGGAUCUAUGAAGAUGGAGAAAAUGCACAAGGUGUUGGGGGAUCAGCAGCAGACCUCAAAAAAACGCUGGAGGAGCAAAUAAAAAACUACAGGGAAGCUCUUCAGAAGUAACCAUAAUCAUCCAGUGGUCUGUGACAUCCAGGCGCACAUCAGAGAAUGGCAUUGGAGCAGCGGGUCCAGUGGCAUAGGCAUUCAGCGAUGUAUGACUUGAAGCUUUGCCUCCUGAAGGGACUGCUCCACCCCCAGACAAAAGGUCAUAACCACUUCAGCCCCUCCUUUCAUUGGACACAGACCUGUCAG